rnacentral:rRNA from 1 species
UACCGGCGGCUCGAGUGGUGGCCACUAUUACUGGGCUUAAAGCGUUCGUAGCUGGGUUGUUAAGUCUCUUGGGAAAUCUACCGGCUUAACCGAUAGGCGUCCAAGGGAUACUGGCAUUCUAGGGACCGGGAGAGGUGAGGGGUACUUCAGGGGUAGGAGUGAAAUCUUGUAAUCCCUGGGGGACCACCUGUGGCGAAGGCGCCUCACCAGAACGGCUCCGACAGUGAGGGACGAAAGCUGGGGGAGCAAACCGG